rnacentral:rRNA from 1 species
UGAGUACGAGACGCUAAGGCGUUGAAGCAGUCUAUGUCAGACUUCCAAGAAAAGCUCGCAAUGUCAUAAACAGAAAAUGCCUGUACCAUAACCGACACAGGUGGGUAGGUAGAGUAUACUAAGGGGCGCGAGAUAACUCUCUCUAAGGAACUCGGCAAAAUGACUCCGUAACUUCGGGAGAAGGAGUGCCUUAUUUUUAUAAGGUUGCAAUAACAAGAUCCAAGCAACUGUUUACCAAAAACACAGGUCUCCGCUAAGUCGUAAGACGAUGUAUGGGGGCUGACGCCUGCCCAGUGCCAGAAGGUUAAAGAAGUUGGUUAGUUUCGGCGAAGCUGAUGACUGAAGCCCUGGUGAACGGCGGCCGUAACGAUAACGGUCCUAAGGUAGCGAAAUUCCUUGUCGGGUAAGUUCCGACCCGCACGAAAGGCGUAAUGAUUUGGAUACUGUCUCGGAGAGGGGCUCGGUGAAAUAGACUUGUCUGUGAAGAUGCGGACUACCUGCACCUGGACAGAAAGACCCUAUGAAGCUUUACUGUAACUUGAGAUUGAAAUUGGACUUUAUUUGCGCAGUAUAGGUGGGAGACGUUGAGAAUAUUCUUGCGGGAAUAUUGGAGUCAUCAGUGAGAUACCACUCUUGUAAUGUUAGAUUUCUAACUUUGUAUCAUUAUCUGGUCAAAGGACAGUUUCAGGCGGGCAGUUUGACUGGGGCGGUCGCCUCCCAAACGGUAACGGAGGCGCACAAAGGUUUCCUCUGAACGUGUAGAAAUCGUAUCUAGAGUGUAAAGGCAUAAGGAAGCUUGACUGUGAGACCUACAAGUCGAGCAGGGACGAAAGUCGGUCUUAGUGAUCUGACGGUGCUGAGUGGAAAGGCCGUCACUCAACGGAUAAAAGUUACUCUAGGAUAACAGGCUGAUCUCCCCCAAGAGUUCACAUCGACGGGGAGGUUUGGCACCUCGAUGUCGGCUCAUCGCAUCCUGGGGCGGUAGUACGUCCCAAGGGUUGGGCUGUUCGCCCAUGAAAGCGGUACGCGAGCUGGGUUCAGAACGUCGUGAGACAGUUCGGUCCAUAUCCGGUGUAGGCGUUAGAAUAUUGAGAGGAGCCUUCUUUAGUACGAGAGGACCGAGAAGGACAUACCUCUGGUGUACCAGUUAUCGUGCCAACGGUAAACGCUGGGUAGCUAUGUAUGGAGUGGAUAACCGCUGAAAGCAUCUAAGUGGGAAGCCCACCUCAAGAUAAGUAUUCUCAC